rnacentral:rRNA from 1 species
UACGGGGGGAGCAAGCGUUGUUCGGAUUUACUGGGCGUAAAGGGCGCGUAGGCGGUCGUGACAAGUCACUUGUGAAAUCUCCGGGCUUAACUCGGAACGGUCAAGUGAUACUGUCGGACUAGAGUUCGGUAGGGGAGACUGGAAUUCCUGGUGUAGCGGUGAAAUGCGCAGAUAUCAGGAGGAACACCGGUGGCGAAGGCGGGUCUCUGGGCCGAUAUUGACACUGAGGCACGAAAGCGUGGGGAUCAAACAGG